rnacentral:tRNA from 1 species
GCCUCAUUGGCUCAGGGGCAGAGCGUCUGUCUAGUAAACAGACGGUCGCUGGUUCGAUUCCAGCAUGAGGCA